rnacentral:lncRNA from 1 species
ACUCCAAACAGUUGGGGGAUUAUUGCUGGAGGAUAUAUGAAUAAAGGUAACAUGGAGAAGGCCUUUGAGUGCAUGAAGGAAGCUCUGGCGGUACAAGAGCAAAACCCGAAAUGGGAUCCAAAACCUAGAUUAGUUUUCAACAUAUUGAAUUGGCUUGGCAAUAGAGGAGAGCUUGAAGAGGUACAGGCUUUAAUUAGGUCGUUAAGGACAGUUGUUCCAGCAAAUAGAAACCUGUAUCAUGCAUUAAUUAAAGCAAAUAUUAGAGACAGGAAAGAUGUUGAUUGGGUUUUAGAGAGCAUGAAAGCGGAUGGUGUCGAGGAAGAUGCAAAAGUUGAAAAGAUACUUGCCAUGAGAUGAAGGAAGCUGGGAACUUCACAUGAUUCUAAGAAAUUUUCGCAGUUUUGGAACAUGCAUUUUGCUUUACUUUCGCAGCUCUUGGAGAAGCUCGUAACUUUUUGAGAUGCAGCACCUUAUAAGUCAGCUGCUGAAGGAUACAAGUCUGGUGUGGCUUUUCAUAGGC